rnacentral:rRNA from 1 species
GACGAACGCUGGCGGCGUGCUUAACACAUGCAAGUCGAACGGAAAGGCCCUGCUUUUGUGGGUCUUCUGUUGGCGGACGGGGGGGGAAUAACUGGGGAAUCUCCCCCUUAUAUUGGGGUAAAUUCAGGGAAACGGGGGCAAUAACGGGUAAGAACCUCUUGAACCUCGUGGGGGGUGGGAAAAAUCCGCUGUUGGGGGUGGAUAUAGGGGUUAUCAGGUUGUUUGUGGGGGAGUGGCAUACCAAGGCUUUGACAGGUAGCCGGCCUGAGAGGGUGACCGGCCACAUGGGGACUGCGAUACGGCCCAGACUCCUACGGGAGGCAGCAGUGGGGAAUAUUGCACAAUGGGCGGAAGCCUGAUGCAGCAACGCCGCGUGCGGGAUGACGGCCUUCGGGUUGUAAACCGCUUUCGCCUGUGACGAAGCGUGAGUGACGGUAAUGGGUAAAGAAGCACCGGCUAACUACGUG